AUACUUACCUGGCAGGGGAGAUACCAUGAUCAUGAAGGUGGUUUUCCCAGGGCGAGGCUUAUCCAUUGCACUCCGGAUGUGCUGACCCCUGCGAUUUCCCCAAAUGUGGGAAACUCGACUGCGUAAUUUGUGGUAGUGGGGGACUGCGUUCGCGCUUUCCCCUG
rnacentral:snRNA from 1 species